UAAUACGGAGGGUGCAAGCGUUGUCCGGAUUUAUUGGGUUUAAAGGGUGCGUAGGUGGCCUGGUAAGUCCGUGGUGAAAGCCUCUUGCUCAACAAGAGAACUGCCAUGGAUACUGCCGGGCUUGAGUCCAGACGAGGUUGGCGGAAUAGAGGCUGUAGCGGUGAAAUGCAUAGAUAGCCUCUAGAACCCCGAUUGCGUAGGCAGCUGACUAGGCUGGUACUGACACUGAGGCACGAAAGCGUGGGGAGCGAACAGGA
rnacentral:rRNA from 1 species